GAGUUUGAUCCUGGCUCAGGAUGAACGCUGGCGGCGUGCCUAAUACAUGCAAGUCGAGCGAACAGAUAAGGAGCUUGCUCCUUUGAAGUUAGCGGCGGACGGGUGAGUAACACGUGGGUAACCUACCUAUAAGACUGGGAUAACUUCGGGAAACCGGAGCUAAUACCGAAUAACAUUUAGAACCGCAUGGUUCUAAAGUGAAAGAUGGUUUUGCUAUCACUUAUAGAUGGACCCGCGCCGUAUUAGCUAGUUGGUAAGGUAACGGCUUACCAAGGCGACGAUACGUAGCCGACCUGAGAGGGUGAUCGGCCACACUGGAACUGAGACACGGUCCAGACUCCUACGGGAGGCAGCAGUAGGGAAUCUUCCGCAAUGGGCGAAAGCCUGACGGAGCAACGCCGCGUGAGUGAUGAAGGGUUUCGGCUCGUAAAACUCUGUUAUUAGGGAAGAACAAAUGUGUAAGUAACUGUGCACAUCUUGACGGUACCUAAUCAGAAAGCCACGGCUAACUACGUGCCAGCAGCCGCGGUAAUAC
rnacentral:rRNA from 1 species